AGCUUUCUUCCCGCCAGGCCCCCUCCACCCGAUCGCCGCGCGCUCUCCGAACCAAAAGGCGACCUCACGAAAUGCCCCUUUGAGCUCAAAGGCUAGUUACCCCCAGGGGCCCUUCCACUCUCGGGGACAGGCGAAACCUCUUUGUCUCUGCCUCGGCCUGCGGCCCCCAGCCCAGCCUCCGCGCUUUCCCUCCGCCAGUCCUUGUCAAUCAAACCUGGUGCCAAACGCGGCAGCUGAAGUUUUCAGGGACACAUUUGCUUCUCCCCUUGAAGAACCAGUUACAAAGCGUGAUGUCCUCUCUGGGGUCCCAUCAGAACAAAGAAACAGGUCUAAAGACCCUCAUUCCAGAGAGCAUCCUGCCCCAUAUCCAGAAUGAAAUCCAUGCUCAGAGAUGCCAAGAAGAAUCUAGACAGACAGGCCUUUCUAGGAUCUGUGGGAACAUCUAAAGACCCUGUAAGAAACAUAGAAAACCCUCUCCCUCCCCCUCCCCCUCCCCCUCCCCCUCUCCCGAGCCGAAGCUGGACUGUACUGCUGCCAUCUCGGCUCACUGCAACCUCCCUGCCUGAUUCUCCUGCCUCAGCCUGCCCAGUGCCUGCAAUUGCAGGCGCGCGACGCCACGCCUCACUGGUUUUCGUAUUUUUUUGGUGGAGACGGGGUUUCGCUGUGUUGGCCGGGCUGGUCUCCAGCUCCUAGCCACGAGUGAUCCGCCAGCCUCGGCCUCCCGGGGUGCCGGGAUUGCAGACGGAGUCUGGUUCACUCAGUGCUCAAUGGUGCCCAGGCUGGAGUGCAGUGGCGUGAUCUCGGCUCGCUACAACCUCCACCUCCCAGCCGCCUGCCUUGGCCUCCCAAAGUGCCGAGAUUGCAGCCUCUGCCCGGCCGCCACCCCGUCUGGGAAGUGAGGAGCGUCUCUGCCUGGCCGCCCAUCGCCUGGGACGUGAGGAGCCCCUCUGCCUGGCUGCCCAGUCUGGAAAGUGAGGAGCAUCUCUGCCCGGCCGCCAUCCCAUCUAGGAAGUGACGAGCGCCUCUUCCCGGUCGCCAUCCCAUCUAGGAAGUGAGGAGCGUCUCUGCCCGGCCGCCCAUUGUCUGAGAUGUGGGGAGAGCCUCUGCCCCGCCGCCCCGCCUGGGAUGUGAGGAGCGCCUCUACCCGGCCGCGACCCUGUCUGGGAGGUGAGGAGCGUCUCUGCCCGGCCGCCCCGUCUGAGAAGUGAGGAGACCCUCCGCCUGGCAACCGCCCGUCUGAGAAGUGAGGAGCCCCUCCGCCCGGCAGUCACCCCGUCUGGGAAGUGAGGAGCGUCUCCGCCCAGCAGCCACCCCGUCCGGGAGGGAGGUGGGGGUCAGCCCCCGCCAGGCCAGCUGCCCCGUCCGGGAGGGAGGUGGGGGGGUCAGCCCCCCGCCCGGCCAGCCGCCCCGUCCGGGAGGUGAGGGGCGCCUCUGCCCAGCCGCCCCUACUGGGAAGUGAGGAGCCCCUCUGCCCGGCCACCACCCCGUCUGGGAGGUGUACCCAACAGCUCAUUGAGAACGGGCCAUGAUGACAAUGGCGGUUUUGUGGAAUAGAAAGGGGGGAAAGGUGAGGAAAAGAUUGAGAAAUCGGAUGGUUGCUGUGUCUGCGUAGAAAGAGGUAGACAUGGGAGACUUUUCAUUUUGUUCUGUACUAAGAAAAAUUCUUAUCCUGUUGAUCUGUGACCUUACCCCCAACCCUGUGCUCUCUGAAUCAUGUGCUGUGUCCACUCAGGGUUAAAUGGAUUAAGGGCGGUGCAAGAUGUGCUUUGUUAAACAGAUGCUUGAAGGCAGCAUGCUCGUUAAGAGUCAUCACCACUCCCUAAUCUCAAGUACCCAGGGACACAAACACUGCGGAAGGCCGCAGGGUCCUCUGCCUAGGAAAACCAGAGACCUUUGUUCACUUGUUUAUCUGCUGACCUUCCCUCCACUAUUGUCCUAUGACCCUGCCAAAUCCCCCUCUGCGAGAAACACCCAAGAAUAAUCAAU
rnacentral:lncRNA from 1 species